GUGGUCAAGCUCUGUGUGCAGAAGUUGAAAUACAUCCCAGGAAGAGAUUCAAGAAAUGUUCAGUGCCAACAGCAGGGAGAACACCAAUUAGCUGAGAUCAGCUGCAGUGCCAAUGCCCUCUGGACAGCCUGUAUUCCCUAGGAGGGUUCCUGAUGCAUACAUAGCAAUGCGUGGCCUUGUCGUGGCUUCACUGCUCAUUCUCCUGGUUGGUGGGACUGAUGCCUUUCGUAUCUGUGCCUUCAAUGCCCACAGACUGACACUGACCAAGGUAAUCAAGGAAUCAGUGAUGGAUACCUUAGUUCAGGUAAGUUCAUUGUUUCAGAAAUUUGUGUCCAUAAGGACCCUGACCAAAAGCUCCCAGCCCUGCCAACUGUAAAAGGAGAGGACAUCUGGAAAUGUGAAUGUACAGAUGUGAAAAGCCUUUCAACCAUCAUUUAAUUACCAACUUCCUCCUCUAAAAAUGGGUAAGGUGUAAUGGAAUGAUAUUGUUUGUUCUCCUGAGUUUAUCCGAGUUUCACUGCUGUCUACAGCCACUCUGGU
rnacentral:lncRNA from 1 species